UUAGUCUUGUUGUUCGCUGUCAGGCUGUUGAUUAGUGAAAGUUUUACGUCGAGUUUAUUUCUGUCGUGUCUGUUCGGCUUGGCUUGUCUUGCUUUGCUGCUUUGUUUUGUUGUUCUGUUCGUUUUUGGUGUUUGUUCUUUGUUUAUGAAAUAUGGAGGGUGGUUGCUGCCCUUGUGAUGUUAAAAAAAUAAGAAAGCUGGCCAGCAAUACAAUUCUCACACACUUUGUGCCACAGCCAAGAUUUAUAAGGUGACCUGUCUCAUUGCCUCAUGGGUAAUUUGAAGCAUGGCUGCAUUAAUUCGUUGCAAACUAAAGAAUGGAAAGAUACCUUACUGGCCCUUUGAAGGAAUUCUGCCUGUGACUGAGGGAUAGAGCUGGAAUCACUGAGAUGAUCCAGACCAACAGUACAAACCGGUCCAGGAAUUUCCAGUAGCAAAUGAGGAGGAAAUGGUUUAAACUUAAUUACAAUGGACACUCUGCAGCCUCCAACCUUGAUGGGAAGGAUCUUUCCAGUGCUCCUCAUCACCCCAACUGCUGCUAAGGUCGCUGAAUGUUCCGCCUAGGUUCAUCUCCAUCAUUGCAAGCUCAUCAGAUGAGCUCUUUGCAAGGGGGGACAUGAUGAAGAUCGAACUUGCCUUGUUCUGUGGACUUGCCAUUGCCAGCAUUGGUGCACAAGAAGGGACAGUUUACCUGUGCAAUCCUGUACAAUCAGAGACUGCGUAUCAACUAUGCCGAAAAAAAAUCCUUGCGUGCCAAGAGACUGAACAUUACCAAGACUGACUGCUGCAGUGGUCAACUGCAUCAAAAAGAUUGAACAGUUCAUUUAUUGAACAAGUCUAAAUGGUCUUUACCCUGUAAAGAUGUUGUGUGCCAGUUUGAUUUCAGUUGUGCUAUGGGCAACCCUGGUAAGCCUUGCCCCCAUUCAAAUAGGUCACGCCGCAAAAGAGAAG